GACGAACGCUGGCGGCGUGCUUAACACAUGCAAGUCGAACGGUGAAGCGAGUGCUUGCACUCGUGGAUCAGUGGCGAACGGGUGAGUAACACGUGAGUAACCUGCCCAUCACUCUGGGAUAAGCACUGGAAACGGUGUCUAAUACUGGAUACGACCAACCCUUGCAUGGGGUGUUGGUGGAAAGAUUUAUCGGUGAUGGAUGGACUCGCGGCCUAUCAGCUUGUUGGCGGGGUAAUGGCCCACCAAGGCGACGACGGGUAGCCGGCCUGAGAGGGUGACCGGCCACACUGGGACUGAGACACGGCCCAGACUCCUACGGGAGGCAACAGUGGGGAAUAUUGCACAAUGGGCGAAAGCCUGAUGCAGCGACGCCGCGUGAGGGAUGACGGCCUUCGGGUUGUAAACCUCUCUCAGCAGGGAAGAAGCGAAAGUGACGGUACCUGCAGAAGAAGCACCGGCUAACUACGUG
rnacentral:rRNA from 1 species